rnacentral:lncRNA from 1 species
GGGAAGUUGUUUCGUGGCUACUGAACUUUGUUGAUUGCAUCAUUUAAAUCCUGGCCAGAACCUGCCAUAGAAUAGGACGCUCUUUUGUCAUGGCAAAGACAGGGGGUGGAGUAUGGCCGCCGCCGCGCCUGCGGUUGAGACUAAUGCACCUCCCACAUGUUUUAGCUAGUUACAUCAACAAUGCUGUGCCUGUGGGACUGUGCGAGCUGGUGACUUAACUUGUCAUGCUUGAACACAGCAGGAGAGAAUCUUUGCUAAUUAAACCUUAAAUACAUGCCUUAAGUAUGUAACAUAUGGCUUCAAAUUAACAACAGGGUACCCUGUAAGGGAGCUGACCGAGUAAGGCUUGGCAACAGGCCAAAAGGAAGUUGCCCUGCUAGCUGGCAUAUACUGAUCUUUUGCGUUGGAUAAGUGCAGCUAAGCCUAAGGGCUUUGUUUACGGCCGCGCCUGAAUGCAUAUCAAGUCACUGCAAGUGGCUGAAACGAAGGUAAUUCAAGUGCACUCCAGAAUCCCGGCAGGGAUGCUGUAUAGUACAUUGUGCACAUUGUUAUAGCGGUAAUAUACUAUGCAGCAUUUCAGAAGGGAUUCCGGAGUCCAUAUGGCAUAUAAUUGUCAUUUUUUAGAAAGGAACAAAACAUGAACACAUAGCCAGCAUAUGACCAUUGGGAACAUGACUGAAUUUACACAUAUGAGUGGCGAUUCAUGAUCAGUCAUGCUGCACAAGGAACAUGACAACUGUCAUGACCAUGACUCUGCCUCAUGACCGGUAACAUGACCGGUCAUGAGGCCUCAUGAGUGGUCAUGAGGCAACAUGACCAGAUCUAUGACAGGAAACCCCCCGCAUGACCACAUCCAUGACCAAGUCGUUCCCCGAGUAUAUAUACGUAGGUGAUCAUGAUCUAAAGUUUUACUGUGCCACGCAUGGCCAUAUGGCCAUGGCACACACAAGCACACACACCUCGCGACAGG